GGGCCCGCACAAGCGGUGGAGCAUGUGGUUUAAUUCGAUGCAACGCGAAGAACCUUACCAGGCCUUGACAUCCUCGGAACUUUCUAGAGAUAGAAAGGUGCCUUCGGGAACGCAGUGACAGGUGCUGCAUGGCUGUCGUCAGCUCGUGUUGUGAAAUGUUGGGGUUAAGUCCCGUAACGAGCGCAACCCUUGUCCUUAUUUGCCAGCACGUAAUGGUGGGAACUCUAAGGAGACUGCCGGUUAUAAACCGGAGGAAGGUGGGGAUGACGUCAAGUCAGCAUGCCCCUUACACCCUGGCUACACACGUGCUACAUUGGGCGAGACAAUGAGAUGCAAAUCUGUGAAGACUAGCU
rnacentral:rRNA from 1 species